UGAGGAACAUGACCUUCGGCGGGGGAUAGCCGGCCCAACGGCCGGGUAAUACCGCGUACGACCACUUUGGGACAUCCCUGGGUGGUGAAAGCAGCAAUGCGCCGAUGGAGUGCCUCGCGGCCUAUCAGCUAGUUGGUGAGGUAACGGCUCACCAAGGCGACGACGGGUAGCUGGUCUGAGAGGAUGGCCAGCCACAUUGGGACUGAGACACGGCCAGACUCCGUACGGGAGCAG
rnacentral:rRNA from 1 species